GCCACAUGAUGAGUUGAAUAGAUGCAGCAGCUCUCGGGCCGUGAUGACUUGCUAUCUAUCACCCUUCUCUGAUGGCU
rnacentral:snoRNA from 1 species